rnacentral:rRNA from 1 species
GACAGAGGUGCCAAGCGUUAGGCGGAAUCACUGGGCUUAAAGCGUGUGUAGGCGGACCGUUAAGUGCCUUGUGAAAUCCCAUGGCUCAACCAUGGAACUGCUGGGCAUACUGGCGGUCUUGAGUCACCCAGGGGCUGUCGGAACAAAUGGUGGAGCGGUGAAAUGCGUAGAUAUCGAGAGGAACACCGGUGGCGAAGGCGGCCUUCUGGACGGUGACUGACGCUGAGACGCGAAAGCGUGGGGAGCAAACAGG